AUCAAAUAUUGGCGUCAGCUGUUUUGCACUGACGCAUAUAAUGCUGUGUCGUGCGGAGGCAAGUCCCGUCCAUAAAUGCUGGUGACACACAUCACCCACGCAGGGAUUCUUCGAAAAUGUACGGAUAACAGAUCGACGGGGGUUGACGAAUGUGGGUUGAACGCUCAGAGAGACCUAUAUUUACGGUUUCGGCGAAUAAGAGGCCGCUGGCCGUCAGCCCGGCUCAUUGCUUUGGUCUCGGGAACAUCACUACAAAAUUUGAUGCCCGCAUGUGUCGAUCAGCUUCCGUGAGGCCAUUGAAAAAUAUAAUUGAUCCUGCACGGUAGAUCCAGUGUUUGUCAGAGUAUCUGCAUAUAUCCAUCCAAUACCUUACCGGUAUGCUGCGCUCUGAAUCGGC
rnacentral:lncRNA from 1 species